AGACCUCUGAUCAGAAAAGACUACCCGCUGAAUUUAAGCAUAUCACUAAGCGGAGGAGAAGAAACUAACCAGGAUUUCCCUAGUAACGGCGAGCGAACCGGAAAGAGCCCAGCUUGAAAAU
rnacentral:rRNA from 1 species